UGUCUGACUACGUCACUACUUAUUUUACUAUCACUAAAUACAAAGCACAAUAUAUUUAUUUACAAAACUAGCAUACUCUCUUAACUAAACUAGGUCACUGCGCUGUAAAUGUGGGCAUUACAAUGUGUGACGUCUUUUCAAACUAAGUAGCAAGAGAGAUAACUCUUGGUUUAAUGCUAACUGUGUUUUCAAUAUUGAGUUGUCGCACUUUUAAGGAAGUCAUUGCUAUUAUUACUAUUUACAGAUCACUAGAAUAUAAUACAAAAUAUUAUGAAAGGUGUGAACUGUGAACUAAAGUAAAAAGCUGUUUCUUUAAUGCUAUUGAUAUGAAACCUAAUUUUAAAACAUGAAACUGUAUUUUCCAUUAUACUCGUCAAACUCAUAAUUAUUAUCAGCCUGGAAACCAGAUGUUAGGUUUAGUUAAUUUUUCAAAUUUACUAGAAUGGUUACGAAAUUAUAUACAUGUGGUAGCUAAAAAUUGGUUAUCAUUUAAAAUCAUUAAAUAAAAAAAAAUUAGUUAAAGUUUGUAAUGACCAUCAGAAGUAGCAGGUCAAAGUUUUUAUAUUAAUAAAAGAAAAACCGAAAACUGAAAUAGAUAUCUACCAUUUCAUUCCAUGAUCAUCUUGCAACCUGUCACCGCAAUAUUCCAACGUCAUAAUUUACAGAAAGGAAAAAAAAAAAAAAAAAAA